rnacentral:sRNA from 1 species
UCUUGAUUGGGAGGUUGAGCAAUAGAG